GAAGAGAAGAAUUUUGUUGUGUAUGCAGCCUCUUGUUCUCUCAUUAGUUUGGAAGAAGUGCCUGUUUUCCUGUUAAAUAUUAAAUGAGUAAGGGACCUUUGUCCCCAUCUUGGACAGCUUGUUGCAUACCUGGCAUAAAAUCACUAUUUUUUAACUAUUAAAUUUUCAUACAUUGUCUUUGUCAAAUACAUGUUUAUUCGUAAUCUAUUAUAAACAGAAACUGUUGAAGAAGAAAGCGAUGAUGAUGAAGAUGCUGACAGCAAUGAUGAUGAAGAUAUACCCACAGAAGACGCUGUGCCGUCAUCGGGAAAGAAGGGAGUGAAGAGGAAAAGAGAAUGUACCACAGGUGCUACCAGGCAGGCAUGGAGUGAUGAAGAAAAGAAGACACUUGAGAGAGUAUUUGCCAAGUUCAUUAAAGAAGAAAAGGUGCCAGGAAAGUUGGACAUAAUUAAUGUUGUUAGAAGUGAAAAAGUAUUUGGAAACUACAACUGAAAAAGAGUGAAAUAUGCAGUUUACAAUAUUAUUUUAGGGCGAAGGGAGAAAAAUAGAUUUAUGUAAUUAUGCCUUGUAAAUUUCGCUAUGUGGUUCAAUCAAAUUAUAUAAGUUUUACUAAACAGAGGAACAAUUAAACACAACAGAGUUUGUAGACGCAGAUUAUCGACAACUAACUUGAUUCCUGCUUCAAAAUGCGUUUAUUUUCUUGCUUUUUAAGGUGUUGAAAGUAUCAACACAACCAUUUCACUUAAAUCUUGUGAGUACCCAUGUACAUACCAGUAGGAAGUCUAGUUGUGCAUAUAUUGUCAGUAUGUUCUAUUUGAUUGAUUUUGGAGAAGUUAUUAGUCUAGAAUUAUUCUUUUUUUUUUCAUUUCAGAUAAUGUCUUGCAAUAUUCAUUUAGAGCUUUCUAAGGCCUUUCUAAAAAAUUUAGAUAUCUGCACCUGACCUCAAAACUUAUAAAAAUAUAAGCCUUUUUGUAUUUGAUUAAUUUGAUAAUUUAAAUCCUCUAUACGCCAUUUUGUGCUUGUUUUUACUAUAAAACCCCUAUAACACGGAAGUGAAUCUACUCGGACUUUUUUUGAUGAAUCUACGUCCCAUGACUUUUUGAUUGAGGGACAGACUUUUUUGGAUUUAUUCAACGUACUUGUGGUUGAAAAUUGAACAAUGCCAUUAAAAAUACAAGCAAGACUGCCAAUUUCAUCAUUCCGCUGAAUGUUCAGAUAAUUUAGUCGUUUAUAUAUGCCAUUAGAUUUCUCAUAUCGGACGUUUUUAUGUCUUGGUUCUCAAAAAAGAUAGAUGUGUUAGACAUUUUAAGAGUUUUGCUCAAUAUUUACCUCUUUCUCAACAAUACUAAACGCAAUUUUCCAGGUUUCGUUGAUACAUUGUUAACAAAACAACAGUUAUCGAACACUUGCAUCUUGAUAUUCACACAACAACGUACUUGGACCGUUUUAAACGAGGAUUUGUUCGUGUUUUUGUUCGUUUUCUCGACUGUGCGAAUUUGUUUCCCUCUGUUUAUGAAAAAUCUCAAAAGUUUCGUGUCUAUGAUACCUGUUCGCAUACAUAUAUUAUUGGGGCAUUCCGUGGACAAUUUAUAUCAAACAUACAAUGUACAUAUUAAGCACUAUAAAUCAUUAAAGCACAUACCUGUCAUUUUAUUUUUGACAGAAAAUCCAAAAACGUCCGGGGAUGCAGAUUGAUCAAAAAAAGUCCGAGUAGAUUCACCACUGUGAA